GAUCGGUUAUUAGAUCUAUCAGUGUCCUCCUUUUGAUUUUAUUAAGUUUCGGGAGUUCGGACGUUUUGAUUGCCAAACAUCCUGCUGCAUGAAUUUGUUGUGCCUUUAGUCCACGAUUGUUUCCCAUUGAUUGCCUAGCUGUUUUUUUGUUCCUGUUAGCUUAUGAAAUGAUCAUAGUCAGCAGAACUCAUUUUGACCGUUUUUCGAAAUACCAAAUUGAAAACAGCAAACAAUUGGACAAGCUCGAGCAUUCGUAAUUUAAAUCAUAAUUAAAUAUCGGCGUAAAUUGUUCAUGGUGGAAUGUUUAAAAAUAACAGCAAAGCAUUUUCCAAGUGAAUUACGAGAGCAGCAUAUUUUUCAGUAUCGGCAUAGUUACCAUUUGCUAGUUGCAAGAGUGAAUAUCAUUUCUGCCUUUUCGGAUUGUUACAAUCUUUCCUCAGAAAAUUGUUUGUGUCCAGGCACGUCGAGGAAGUGUCGCUCCAGUUCGGGAGAACAUCGAGUCAAUGUCCGAGCCCAGAUCACGAGAAAAGCUAUGUCGCCAAGCUGCUCCAGCACCCGAGUUGCUAUUUAACCUGUGAGGAGGAGAAAUCGAUAAUGUAAUGCAGGAAAACAAUCGUAUCUCAUUCGUCAACGUGAAAAGGAGAUUAUGCUUAAAAGGCUUCAAGAUCCAGAUCAACGAUAUACCUUGUGCUAGUUGAAGACAUCAGUACAGCUUCCAGUCCUUUUGAGACUGUGAUUCUUGCUCAUCUCGCACCUCUACUACAGUUUACGAUGGACGAUUCUUCAUUUCGAAGUUAUUUGCAGUUUCUGCGUCGGAACCUUCUUUAUUUUGUUAAGCAUCCUUCGCGGAGUCGAAGCUCUCCAUUGUAUCUUAAUAUGUUCAUAAUUGUAAUUCUAUCUUUUAUCAAUAAAUAAUACAAAUGCA